AUGUCUAUGUGGGCUUGUAAUAUUUUGUGGGUACAAAGGGCAUUUUGAUUUUGGUAACCGACCCUUGAUACGUUUUCCCUCGGAUCACCACACCCAUGGCUAUGUUCUUCUUCAAGCAUGGACUAACCCUCCACUGGUAACCUCCCCAUUCUCAUUCACUGUGACUCCGAGAAAAGCCCCACCCGCCUGAUUGCGAAUCACCUCCGCUCCAAGAAACCCGCAAGUGAGCCCAGCCUCCACAGGGGUUAUGUGUUGCUCCAUGUCAGCCUCCACAGCCUAGACCGGUCAACCGCACUUUCCCUUGUGAUUUUUCAAGGAUCGCUUUUGCAAGAUCUCUGAGGGAACCGAGAUCUCAAAUCCAUCUUCACCGGUAUACAUGAGUAGGCUUGAAUGAUAAGGCAACAACAUACUUGAAGAAUGCAGCGCUGCAAAAGUUAACUUGUUGCUAUCAACUACGGAGAGAAGACAUCACUUCAUCCUUCUUUAACAAAUUCGAGCAUCUCUUCCAUAUUUUAAUUAACCAUGGUUAGUUGUAAUUUGAGUCCAACCCUUCUUAAGUGGCAUGUGUAAGUCAUAUGCUACUUAUUUUAACAAAAAAAUGAUCUGAUCAGUUUAUGCAAAUCCUUGUCAACUGCGACCUGCAUUAUUUAGAUUUCAAUGGCUGUUUUUAUCUUUUCAAAUGCAUGCUCUCCAUUCGAUAUGCAGUCAAAGAACAAAUGUUUGCAGAUUUACUCUAAACUCGAGUUCAGAUUUAAACGAAUGAUUUUAUUUAAUAAACCCCACAAAUCAUUAUUUGUAUAUUUGAAUACAACGGUUACAUAGUAAAUGAAAUGAAACUCGCCCUUUCUAGAAAAUAAGCCAGUGUUACCAGAAAAGAAUUAGAAAUUCAUGUGGAACCCAGCUACAAUGAAGAAUGUUGCAAUGAACAAAAACUAAUUAGCUGUAAAAAAAAA